rnacentral:lncRNA from 1 species
AUGUUCGAGGUGAACGACACCGGCUCGGCCGGCCUGGGCAACAGCCUCAAGGGCAACAAGUCCCGGGAGAAGGGCGAGGACCUGGGCAUCUUCAUCAAGUCCAUCAUUCACGGAGGGGGCCGCCUUCAAGGACGGCCGAAUGCGGGUCAACGACCAGCUGAUUGCGGUGAACGGCGAGGAGCUGUUGGACCUCUCCAACCACGUCGCCACGGAGACCCUACGCCACUCCAUGUCCUGGGAGGGCAAUGCCCGCGGCACCAUCCAAUUGGUGCUCCUCCGCGCCGCCCCCUCAGCGCCAACGCACAGGAGAGCCAGGAGGCGGCUAGCCACCAGGUCCCAGACGGCCCCUCCGGAACCCCGGCUCUAGCUGCAGCCCUGGAGUCCCACCACCACAGCAACGGUCCCAGCCCCCAGCCGUCCAUGGUCCCAGCUUUUGAGGUGAGAGGACACAGUAGGGCCUGAACUAGGGAA